rnacentral:tRNA from 1 species
GCGCCCGUAGCUCAGAGGACAGAGCGCCGGACUUCGAAUCCGUAGGCCGCAGGUUCAAAUCCUGCCGGGCGUA